AUUUAAUGAGGAGGUGCACGGAUGCUCCAGUACAUAGGUGUGAGAGACUGUCUAUGGAUGAUUUUAGGCGGGGUAGAGAUAGGUCGAAGAAAUAUUAGAGAAAGGUGAUUAAGCAUGGGAUGAAGCAGUUACAGCUUACGGAGGACAUACCCUUGAUAGGAAGGAGUGUAGGACUCUAAUUAGGGUAAAAGGUUAGUGGGUAGGAGUUCGGUGUGAUGUAAGGAUGAGUGCUU
rnacentral:lncRNA from 1 species